CUCAUAUAUGUAGGUGAUGUCGGAUUAGCUAGAGAAUGGAUUCUAAGUAAUCUACUAACUACUAAGUCAUAAUCUACUCUAGUUAUCUACAAGAUCAUAUAUAGCAUAAAAGACUCUUCAUUCAAGUAUAAGGAACAUUGAUAAAGUAAAUCAGAGCAUCGCAUGACUUACUCCACAAUACCGGUUCUCCCUGUCCUAUCAACGGAGGGUGGACUAUAUAAGAAUCAACGAAGCUGUCACUAUCGCGAACUACCACACGACCCGGCCAAUAGGAUACAUUUGGAGAUAAAUAACAUCUAAGCACCACGCUCACAUGUGAUCUAUCACCUAACUCCCUCACGUCAAGAGCUAAGCGCUUUGCAAACUUAUACAUAAACUCAUUAUCAAUUAGAACUAUAUCAAAUAUAGAACUAGAGCAAACUAAGAACAUAGUAAUUAGAGACAUAAUGCAAUUAGAACAAAGAAUUAGAGAAAGAUAUGAAUAAUACCAAUCUUUAUUACCGAAGAUUCGAAUCCAGAGCGUAGUGCUCUACUUCUCUAAUUGCUAUCUAAUCAAACCUCUAAACUUGAAGGAUUAGGGAGUAGCUAAUUCUAAUUCUCUAUGGGAGAGAAGCUCUAAGCCCUAACUUUGAUGGCUACCUCUACAUAAUGAUUUCUUCUCUUCUCCUCUCUCCUCCAGGGGGGAGAGGCCUUGGUUUUAUAGUCCCUUCAAGUGAAUGUGGGCCGUCAGAUCAAACCAACAUUGAUUGUAUGGUUUAGAUUGAUCCUUUAGGUCGGUGGAGUUUAGCCCCGAAGCAGAGUCCUGAUCCAACUUCUGGCCAGGGCGGGCGCCCAAGGAGGGUGGGCGGGCGCCUUGCCCCCGAGCCCGAUCGUGCUCUCGUUCGUUCCCGUGGCUUCUGGACUCUUCUAGAUUGAGGAAAAUUGCGCGGCACGUAAUUAUCUCGUUGUAAUCAUGACAUGUGGGCCUUCUCUCCAUAUUCUCUGAUGACCCCCUGCAGAAAUAGAUAAACACCAAAGCUCGUGGAAUUCUGUCAGAUAAAACCCUAAUUCUAGAUGUUUGUUUCAUAUUGAUCCUUUUCCAUGUUUAUUUGAUUAUUAAUUUUAGUACUUAAGGACCGUCAACAAACUCCCCCAAGCUUACCCUUUGCUCGUCCCUGAGCAAAUAGCUAAACUUAGACGGAUCAGGAGUUGUUUCGAUGUUUUCUUUCCUGACAGGCACACAUGCUUUUACAUAAAAAUUCUUCCACAUUAGAGUGAAGGGUUAAAGAGCUUAGUGCCUGCACUUAAGUCUUAAGUAAUCGAAAAACAAAAUAAUUAAGUCAAGCACUAUUCCUCCUGUCUACACUUCACCUUUGUUCCAGAGUUUUUCAUAAGUUUUUAAAAUAAAACUCAGAGUUCCCAGCAAUGAUUCUCUCAAGUCUCUCUAUAUGUAGUAUUUGUGGAUCCUUACCAAAAUGUCACUUACCUAUAGCUAAAGGAAUAUUUAAGUGGAGCUCAUAGUAGUGAAAACAGCUCAUACAUAUGUUGCCUAAUCGAGCCAUGGAUCCAAAGGAACUCAGCAUAUAAUUAAAUCAAGAUGUGCAUGUGUGGUGGAGUAAAUGAUAGUGAUGGUGAAGAUAUAUAAGUGAUAAUAAAACUUAAUUCUUAUUGCUCCUCAUAUUGCUAUCUCUCCUCUUCUUUGAUCUUUGCUUUGGGAGAAUAUGGGCUAUCUUUUUUUUUCUUUUUUUUCAGGUGGGUAGUAGAUACCCCUAAUUCUACUGUCGGACACUUGUCCAUUUUUUACCGCUCAAGUGGGCAUCUUUGUACCCCUAAUUCUACUUCGGACACUUGUCCAUUUUUACCUCUCGUCUCACUCUUUUUCUUUCUUUUUCGAGGUUCCGGGCACUUGCCCCUUUUUAUUUCCUCGCAUAUUUUUGCAUAACCCAUGCCUCUUCUGCAUUGAAUCUUUUUGGAAAGAGAGAAUAACAAUACUUGGGACAGUGAGUGAUAAUAUUUUUAGCAAUUUUAAUGAAUGGGGAUGAAUGGUGUAGUGGAUCUGUGCAAGUGAAUAUCUUAAUUUAACCACAUGAAAAGCUUCUAAGGGUCUACACAGCUCGAUCAAACUCAAUGUAAAUAUAGUAAAAGAUGUUAUAGCAAGUAUGGCUGUGGUAGGUAGUUUGUUAUGCUAGGAACACAUCAUGUGAUUUGUAAGUUUUCAAAAUAAAUCUCUAGAACUUAGUGUAGUAGGAACAAGAUAAACAGCAGCUCAAACUUUACAUUAUGCCUUUCUCUUACCUAGACUUUAGUUUUAUGCUUCCUAAAGAUAGUAAUUUUAGUUUUAGUAAUUCCUAGAAGAACUCUAAUAUAGAAGCUAGGUACUUGAAAGUAAGCAAACAGAGCAACUGUUCAUCAUUUCCAUCAUACAUCUUUUUGGUCUUUUUAUUUUUUUCUAGAGAUUAAACUUAGCAGGAAAAUAAAGCACACUUGUCUACGCACUCUUUUUAUUUUGUUUUCAUGUUUAUAAAAUGUAGUAAAUUUAAGCAAGAAAAUAUUUAUUUGGUUUGCUAAGUUUUUCCUUUUAAGAUAAAAUACUAAAAUAGAAAAGAAUAAAUAAGAAGAGCAAAUAAAAACUUACUUGAUAAAUUGGGGAGGAACUCCCCCAAGCUGGAUGUUGUCGUCGGUCUUACCCGAUGUUCCAGAACCGCAUCAUGGUUGUGAUGUUGUCGUUCAUUGUUCUUGUCUCUUGUCUCAGCUCUUGUACUGCAGCGGCAUGGUCCUGGUUCCAUUUUUUUGCUCUUCCAGGAGUCUUCCAUGUUCUGCUUGCUUGUUCUGGAUGUUGAGGAGGGUGUUGUCGGUACAAGUGAAGAAAGCACCGGCCUCUUGAUAGUAGUCAUUCGUGAAAGCGUAGGAGGCGUCGGAGUAUCGUCCUGCAUCAAAUUGGGGUGGAGGUCUAGAUCCUGAAGCUCCAUAUGGAUCAGUGGAGUACCUGCCCGUAUGAAAAGGCGGGUUUGUCCACUGGUGAUCUUGGCUCUCCGGCCAUGUCUCCUCUGUUGGCUCUUGUGGUUGCGCAUGUCGAACCCAUGGGUCUCGAAGGACUCGAGGGUUGUAAUCGCAAUAAUGCAGGUGCGCUGCUUCUUCUGGUCCAGGGUCAGCUCCAUACUAGGUGCGUUCUCGGUGGGUGGUCAUCCUUUCAGAUGCCACUCACUGUGGAGCUCUCUGGUUUACUGGUGUUGCUGCAAUCUCAAUCAAAAAGUUUUGAACAAUGUAGAGGCCAAGGUUCAGGUUAGGUAACCAAAUCUUGCCUUUAUGAUCAUAUAGCAUAUAUAUUAGAUUCCCCUCUUUCUUUAACAUCCGAGCUUGCCUAAAUGUGUCAUAGCCAUGAUAAAUUCUUAACUCAACUAUGAAGUCCAACGAUGAGUUUUCUAGUAAGUGAAGAUUAAAUGCUAGACGAGUGAUAAGUGAAGUACAUCCUACUGGUCCCAGAAGACUAGGUAUACUAAGCCAAUGAGAAACUAAUAGUGUAACAGGUGAAGUGGGUACUUUAUUAAUAGCAGCAUAUAAAAGUUGUAAAUCUCCUACUCUUACUUUCCUAAUAUCAUCACGAUAGAAAAGAUUGUACCCAAGCCAUUUGUGGAACAUCCUGAGAGUGGGGUGUUCCAUGUCACUGGUUCGGGCUUGACUAUAAAAAUUAUCUCUAGAUAUUUCUCUCCAAAACUGGUGUCUCUCAAAGUUAGGUAGGUCGGAGUCAAUGUUCAGGAUGCAUCUUGAAGAGAAACCAAGAUGGUCGCUCAGCUCUCUCCAAGACAACAUAAUCUCCUGUUUGAACAUCCGAAAAACAAUUCCCCCCUCAUAGUAUUGUAAAGUGCAAAGAAAUUCGAGGGUGAGAAGACGAGAACCCAGCUCAGUUAUAUUCCAAAAAUUUGUCCAACCUAUCAUCUGGAAAAUUAAGUCAAAUUCAGUGUGCAUACCUGUUUCUUGUAGUAAGAUUGGAUCAAGAGUAGGGGUGUGAACAAAAUCUUUGUUCUUUAGUUGCUGAUAGACUUCCUUCUCCCUUCGGGUCUUCAGUCCUAGGUCUCCUAUCUUGAGAAGGACCUUAACUUGCUGACCUGAUGAAGAUGACGGAGCUUGUGUGGGUGUCGGGUCGACGCUCAUUUCUGAUGGCUAUGAGGAGUGUCGGGAUGAACUCCUUGUACCAAUGUUCUUGAGAGCCUUCCCUGCAUUCUUCACCUUCUUAAACAUCCUGUAAAAAAAAGUUGGCAAAAACACAACUAGUGGAAAAUAUGAGAGAAAAUGUUAGUGGUCAGCUGUCCGGAAUAUCAGUAGUCCAGGGGUUAAUCGUUCCAGACAAGUUUCUAUUUUGGUAGAGCCUCCCCCUAAACAACUUUUACUUCCGCUUAGACAACUACUUUCUAAGUGAUACUCACUCUCUCACUCAAAAGAACUCCCAACUUUCUCACACUCAGAACUAUUCUCUGGAAACCGAGCCUGCAAGGUUUUCUCAAAUGUGUGUGUGAAGAGAAGGGAAGCUGGAGGUGGCCUUUUAUAAGCUGAGCAGGGGACAGGGCGGGCGCCCUAGGUAGGUGGGCGGGCGCCCACCCCUGGUGUCCAUCCUGGGUGUGCCUCCUCCACUUGCUUCCUUGCUUUGAUCUCACGCAGAAUAGUAUUGUGUUGGUGGUGGUUGGACGGUGGAAAGAUGUCUGGUGAGUGGAAACAUAUUGGUGGAUGAAAUUAUGUGAUGAGAUGUAUGUGAGGUGAAGUGUAUGACAUGUGGGACCCAAGGAGUGUGGGUCAUGCUUCUAGAAGGUUACUAUAAUUAAAUAUAAUGCAGGCAAAAUCUAUGAGAAUUGAAACUUAAUUAAAAUGAUAAUGGAAAAUAUUUUUUGUGCCUCCACAAUAAUUAAUAAAUAUGGGUUGUCACGCACCAUGAAUAUUAUUUAUAUGGGGCUUUUGAUUAUUGUAAUAAUGCUAUGAAUAUAUAUGACUAAUGCAAGAUUCAGCAAUUGGUAGCUAGCUUCUUCUUCUCUUGAUUGCUUUGGUUCUGAUGAUGACGAGUUGAAUGUACCCAAAGUCAAUCCUGAUAUACCCUGUAUAAAAAUAUAAACAUAGAAAAACAACAGGGUGAACCCACCAAAGCAGAGGUGCCUUGUUAUGAUUUCUCACUUAGUAGCUGUUUUUAUGCAAUUAUUUCUCUAUAGUCUAGUCUAAUAUUUUAUAUGAAUAACCUUGACUGAUUUCCUGACUUUCCUUACCGUUCCUAUGUGUUACCCUUUUGCUUCUCCGGCAACGGCGCCAGAAAUGCUUGCUGACACAAGCUAACACCACUUAGAUACUAGGUUGUCAUUCCCAGCAUGGUGCCACAGUGUACAAAGGUAUUUAUAAAUGUAAAGGCUCUCUAGAAAAUAAUCUAUUCUAUCCACAAGCGUACAGAUAAAACACCUCAUUGUAGCAUUUCACCAGGAUAAGUAUUCCAGGUAUCGUUAUUUAUAAUUUUGCUUAAGAAGACAAGGGGUAAAAUUAUAAUAAGGUCAAAAUCUAUCAAGGCAUAGACUAGAGAUAAACUUGCAAGAACAUGAUUACUAAUGAGAAACUCGUCACACAGUCACGUACUUAAACAGGGGUAAACCAUAAAGAUAAUGAUAAUGAAUUAUAAGUUCAUGGGUAGAUAACACAGCGAUUAGAAAAUAGACUACUCCUCAUAUAUGUAGGUGAUGUCGGAUUAGCUAGAGAAUGGAUUCUAAGUUAUCUACUAACUACUAAGUCAUAAUCUAGUCUAGUUAUCUACAAGAUCAUAUAUAGCAUAAAAGACUCUUCAUUCAUGUAUAAGGAACAUUGAUCAAGUAAAUCAGAGCAUCGCAUGACUUACUCCACAAUACCGGUUCUGCCUGUCCUAUCAACAGAGGGUGGACUAUAUAAGAAUCAACAAAGCUGUCACUAUCGCGAACUACCACACGACCGGGCCAAUAGGAUACAUUUGCAGAUAAAUAACAUCUAAGCACCACGCUCACAUGUGAUCUAUCACCUAACUCCCUCGCGUCAAGAGCUAAGCGCUUUGCAAACUUAUACAUAAACUCAUUAUCAAUUAGAACUAUAUCAAAUAUAGAACUAGAGCAAACUAAGAACAUAGUAAUUAGAGACAUAAUGCAAUUAGAACAAAGAAUUAGAGAAAGAUAUGAAUAAUACCAAUCUUUAUUACCGAAGAUCCGAAUCCAGAGCGUAGUGCUCUACUUCUCUAAUUGCUAUCUAAUCAAACCUCUAAACUUGAAGGAUUAGGGAGUAGCUAAUUCUAAUUCUCUGUGGGAGAGAAGCUCUGAACCCUAACUUUGAUGGCUACCUCUGCAUAAUGAUUUCUUCUCUUCUCCUCUCUCCUCCAGGGGGGAGAGGCCUUGGUUUUAUAGUCCCUUCAAGUGAAUGUGGGCCGUCAGAUCAAACCGACAUUGAUUGUAUGGUUUAGAUUGAUCCUUUAGGUCGGUGGAGUUUAGCCCCAAAGCAGAGUCCUGAUCCAACUCCUGGCCAGGGCGGGCGCCCAAGGAGGGUGAGCGGGCGCCCUGCCCCCGAGCCCGAUCGUGCUCUCGUUCGUUCCCGUGGCUUCUGGACUCUUCUAGAUUGAGGAAAAUUGCGCGGCACGUAAUUAUCUCGUUGUAAACAUGACAUGUGGGCCUUCUCUCCAUAUUCUCUGAUAACCCCAUGUAGAAAUAGAUAAACACCAAAGCUCGUGGAAUUCUGUCAGAUAAAACCCUAAUUCUAGAUGUUUGUUUCAUAUUGAUCCUUUUCCAUGUUUAUUUGAUUAUUAAUUUUAGUACUUAAGGACCGUCAACAUGGAGCUCAUAGGAGUGAAAAAUAGCUCAUACAUAUGUUGUCUAAUCGAGCCAUGGAUCCAAAGGAACUCAACAUAUAAUUAAAUGUGCAUGUGUGGUGGGGUAAAUGAUAGUGAUGAUAAAAUUGUAUAAGUGAUAAUAAAACUUACUUCUCAUUGCUCCUCAUAUUGCUAUCUCUCCUCUUCUUUGAUCUUUGCUUUGGGAGAACAUGGGCUAUCUUUUUCUUUUUUUUCAGGUGGGUAGUAGGUACCCCUAAUUCUACUGUCGGACACUUGUCCAUUUUUUCCGCUCAAGUGGGCAUCUUUGUACCCCUAAUUCUACUCCGGACACUUGUCCAUUUUUUACCUCUCGUCUCACUUUUUUCGAGGUUCCGGGCACUUGCCCCUUUUUAUUUCCUCGCAUAUUUUUGCAUAACCCAUGCCUCUUCUGCAUUGAAUAUUUUUGGAGAGAGAGAAUAACAACACUUGGGACAGUGAGUGAUAAUAUUUUUAGCAAUUUUAAUGAUUGGUGGUGAAUGGUGUGGUGGAUGUGUGCAAGUGAAUAUCUUAAUUUAACCACAUGAAAAGCUCCGAAGGGUCUACACAGCUCGAUCAAACUCAAUGUGAAUAUAGUAAAAGAUGUUAUGGCAAGUAUGGCUGUGGUAGGAAGUUUGUUAUGCUAGGAACUCAUCAUGUGAUUUGUAAGUUUUCAAAUUAAAUCUCUAGAACUUAGUGUAGUAGGAACAAGAUAAACAGUAGCUCAAACUUUAUAUCAUGCCUUUCUCUUACCUAGACUUUAGUUUUAUGUUUCCCAU
rnacentral:lncRNA from 1 species